GUCCCAGUUUGGACUGUAGUCUGCAACCCGACUACACGAAGCUGGAAUCGCUAGUAAUCGCGAAUCAGCAUGUCGCGGUGAAUACGUUCCCGGGUCUUGUACACACCGCCCGUCACACCAUGGGAGUCGGGAAUGCCCGAAGCCGGUGACCCAACCUUAGGGAGGGAGCCGUCGAAGGCAGGUCUGAUAACUGGGGUGAAGUCGUAACAAGGUAGC
rnacentral:rRNA from 1 species